CCUCCCCACCCGGUCUUAUACGCCCUGCCAUGUAUGGCUGGGGAUGCUUGUGUGUGGUCGCCACAGGCUGAGGGCGGCGUGGCGUUGCCUCCACUGCCGGCGGUGUGGAUGGAGGACCUGCGUGCCACCUCCCUGGAGGCCCGGUGCAGCCUGACCAUGGACGGCAGUAGCAGCAGCAGUAGCAGCGGCAGUAGUAGCGGCAGUAGCAGCGAUGACGGGGGCAUCUCCAGCAUUGCAGACAUGGUGCAGCAGUCGCUGGCGGAGAUGCCCGCCCCCAAUACUGCGCUGGCAGUGGCAACAGUAGCAGCAGCCGGAGUGCCGCCACCAGCAGCCGCUGCCUUUGCGGCGGCGAACGGCAGCAGCGGUGUGGCUGUGAGCACCAUCAGCAUGCGCACGCGCAUCACGCUGGGGACGCUUCUGCAGAUGCUUCACAAUUGCGUCCGUGGCGGCGGCGCGAUCGCCAGCAGCAGCAGUAGCAGCAGCAGUAGUAACAACACCAGCGCAAACAACACUAACCGUAGCAGCGUUACACUGGAGGCCUCAGGCGUGAACUCAGUUGGCAGUGGCAGCAGCAGCAGUAGCAGCAGUACUGCCCAGGUGGCUAUAGCAGUGUCCGCCACGCACCUGCGUGUCGCCUACGUCACCGAUGCACUGCUCCUAGCCAACAUCAGCGGUCGCGUGCGGCCGGCGUUCCAGACCUCCGCCCAAGCCCCGAGCCAGCAGCAGGAACAGCAGCAGGCUUCGGCAGUAGCAGAUGCACUGGCUGCAGGCGCUGCCGCGGGCGAGCCGUCUGACGGCAGUAGCAGCAGCAGUAGCAGCACGGCCCUGGCGGCCGGCGCGCUGGCGGGGCUGCUGGUUGCGCCGGGCGGGCGAUUCGGGCUGCGGCUGCAGCUGCACGACGGUCUGGGCCAGCCUGUGGCAGUGGGUGAGUGGUGCGGCGCGGCGGCAGGGCACGUAGACGCGGCUGCAACUUGGGAGCUGAAUGUGACAUAUUGUGGCCGUGAAAAAUGUGGACGUGUGGAAACGGCUGUGCAUGUGUGUGCUUAAGGCUUAAAGGCUGUGUACGCUCCACGCGUGCUACCGUUGUGCUGACGUGGCCCCUCGCCCGACAUGCUGCAGACAUCCCCAAGUACGACAUACGGCUGGAUCUAAUCCGCAUGGACGACAACGCCUCAACCGUCGCCGGCUCAGCCGCCGGCGGUACGGCAACUGCCGUACUGCGCGGUGCCGACUUCCCCGUAACCACCUCGUACGGCGUGGCCACGUGGGACGACCUGGAGGCUUACGGCUGGCCGGGGCGGCACGUGCUGCGAGCCCGGGCCGAGGUCUCGCUCGACGCCGUCGGCCCUCGGGCCUACCCGGUGCGUGGCGUGGCGGGGCGGGGCAUAGUUUGGCAACCGUGCCGAGGCAAGGGGGAACUGGGGCGUGGCACGGUGGUUUGGCACGGUGGUUGGCACAGUAACUUGCAUGCAUGGCCCAGACUCGGGGCUUUGUGAGUUUGCUGGCGUGGGCGUGGCGUGGCGGGUUUGCACGCCGCGUAGCCUUGCUGGGGCCUUGCUCCCCGCCUGACGGCGCCGUACACCGGCAAAGUCACGCCCGCCUAGCCUUGCCAACUGGCUCUUGACUCCGUUCGCUUGCGCGCCCGCAGAUCUCGACGCUGCGCAUCCCGCUGGUCCUGGUGCCCUGCGAAUUGGGACAAGAGCUGCAGCAGGCCCCCGGCAGUGGCAGUAACGGCGGCGGCAGCGAUUCAGCCGUCGUGCUCACGUCAUGUAGGCAGUGCCGGCGCGACCAACUAGGACUGUGGAAUGACACGCGCCCCCCGCUGCCGUCAUCAUCACCGCCCCCCGCCGGUGCCAGCAGCACCAGCACCAGCAACAGCAGCGAUGCCGGCGCCGGAGCCGGCGCAGCUGCCGGCGUCAAUGCCACAGCCGCCAUUCUGGAGGCACUGGCGGGCGCCGCCGCCGUGACACGUGACCUGCUGGGGCUCAGCACGGAGGCAGGCGCGGACGACGCGUGCGAUGCAUGUUGUGUGCCGUGCCCCGACGGCGCCACGUGUGCUGGCGGCGCGCUUCUCAUUCCGCAGCCCGGCUACUGGCACAGGUGGGCGGCAUGUUGCCCAUACAUCUCUUGCUUUGAUACUAGUCGUGCUUAGGCGUGCUUGGCAUCUGUGGCCUCCGUCUGCACACCGGCUUGCAUGCUGCGUGUCCUUACGUACCGUACCAUUCCUCUCGCUCCGCGCGCGCCCGCGCGCCGUGCCUUCUGCCCCGCUCGUUUCUGCAGCGCUGCCAACUCCACAGCAGUGCACGCCUGCAUCAACCCCGCCGCUUGCGGCGACGGCUGGGACGAGUCGGAACCCUGGAGCAAGUCUGUGGAGGCCACCCUGGCGGCCGCGGACCCAGACACGUUGGUCUGGAGCCAGGCCCAGCCGGCCCUGGCACUCGCGUACGCGGCCGUUGACAUCAUCACGUCGGACCCGCGGUCGAGGCUGCUGGGCAGGUGCCAGCAGUGGUGGUGAGUUGCUUGGAGCAUGGCGCCGAGGCUAUGCCGUGCAUUGCACGUGCUGCCGGUUUUGUUACAUUUCAGCUCUACAGUGCUAAGAGGCUUUGCCGUGCGCUGUAUACGCGCUGCUGGAUGCGGGUCGAGGCGGCGGACUGUGCCACCUGAACCCUGGUAGCUUUUUGUCGCUUCCGUCGCUCGUGCUCUCUUAUGCUAACCGCCGCCUGCUUUUACGUCGUGCGCGCGCGCAGGUACCAUAACCUGCCGCCGCAGCAGUCGCGUGCCUGGGCCGCCGCCGGCUACUCCCCAGCCCUCACAGCCGCUGGAGCCGUGCUUUCACUGGAAGGCAGCAGCAGCAACAGCAGCAGCGGCAACGGUCCACCGCCGCCCUGGUGCCAGCUGUACGGGGGUGGGGCCGACCCCAGCAGCUAUCUGCAGCUGCAGUGCGUUGAGGGCUACACAGGUGAGCGAGCAAGCGACCGAGCGAGCGAGCAAGUGACAUAUCUGCUACUCUGCUGUAACUCGCUGCACGCCACAUCACGGACGCUGCUGUGGCGCUUCAGCGAGCUAGCUAGCGGAACACGCAUGUAAUGGAUGGGAGCGGAAAUUCUGUCACUUACGACCCUUUUGCUUCUGUCCCAUCACCAUCAGUCCACCACCGUAGACGCCCCUGCAAUCCGGGCCGAGCAACUUCCCUACCUCACUACUCAACCCAAUCUAACGCGUGAAUCUAAUCCCAGCCCAACGCUAUAUCUGCCCGGUCCCGAACAGGCAACCUGUGCGCCACCUGCCAGCCCGGCUACACACUUGGCCCCGACUUUGACUGCUCGCCCUGCCCCAGCAUGGCGCGGACCAUCACGCUGGGUGUGCUGGCGUUCUUUGGCACGGUAAGAGUGACACGGUGGGAGUGACAUGGUAAGAGUGACACGGUGGGAGUGACAUGGUAUGAGUGACACGGUAAGAGUGACACGGUGGGAGCGGCAUGGUAAGAGUGACACGGUGGGAGUGACAUGGUAAGAGUGACACAGUAAGAGUGACACGGUGGGAGUGACAUGCACCGCGACGGGCUACGUCUGCAAGAGGCUGGGCUAGGGAAGGGGGAAACGGGGAACGCGGAGCGUAAUGGAGCGGGAAGCGUGAACGGGGGCGGGAUGCACGGAUCACGGGGGCACGGGCCGCGGCAGUAGUUCAUGGUGUGUCGGGCGAAAGUCGCGUGGUGGUGAGCGGUGGGACAGCGUUUGUGUGCGUGCGUGGGAUGUUGGUACGUGCUGACCCCCACCCCUCCGCCGUCAUACCCCGACAUGUGCGGCUACAGGUGCUCUUGAUCGUGUACACCACCUUCACAAACAUGGCCCAGGACUUUGAGGAGAUUUCGAUGAAGCUGGAAGCCGAAAAGGUGAAACGCAAGGCCAAGAAAGCCAGGAAGAGAGCGGAAAAGGAGCAGCUCAAGAGCGUCGAGAAGGCCGCUGAACCGGCGGAGAAGCAUGAGGAGAAAUCCGCAAUGAUAGGGCACGACUACGACGAUGAUGAAGACGACUUCAGCGCGUCAGAUGUUCUGAAGGUGUGUAGCAGCAGUAGGGCUUGGUGGUCGGUGGAGAUGCGCGGUGUGGCGCAUGAGCGAGGGCAUGGGAAUGCAUACACGGCGACACGGUACGUGGCGUGGCGUGGGUUUGGGGUGCGUCGCGAUACAAGGGCAGCUUAAGUUGCACCGCAACGGGAGCUGCCCCUGCUAACCUACUGCCCCACACACGUGCUAAUCUUGGAACUUUCUAUCACAUGCGCCACCACACGCACGCCUGUACGCUUCAAAUGAUGACCACAACACACGCGCGCCUGUAUGCUUCAAUUGAUGACCACACAGGCCAUCAUCACGCACGCCCAGUUCUACAUCAUCGUCACAAAGCUGGGCAUUUCCUAUCCCCACGUCGUCACCAAGUACCAGGUGUGCAAUCCACUCGUCCCCCUGGGCAUCCACGCCGCUGCCGGGCACAUGCUCACGUUCCCAUCAUAUCCAUUCAACAGCCGACACCGACGCGAAGUCCUGGAAGAAGGAGCGCAUAAGCGUGCCCCUGUCGUGCCCCUGCCAUGACUCAUGCCUCUCACCAUGCCACUCACGCAGGCCGCCGUGUCUGCAUUCACUGGCGCCGAGAACUACGUCGCCUACAGCCCCACCUGCCUCACACCCGACUCGGGGCCGGAGGGCCAGGCCUCCACCGCCGUGGCUCUGGGCCUGCUGACGCCGUGUGUGGCCACGGCUGUGGCCGCCUUGCUGUGGGCGGCAAGGUGCGAGUGGGCGGGCCCGGCGGGCAGCGUGGUUGAUUGGUUGGUGGGUUGGGAGAAACGGGUGCAGGAGACAGGUUGCAGCCGGCAGUUAGGAGAAGCCGGAGGGAUGCGGGGUCGACACUCGACAGGAUAGGUAGACGGCUGCAAUACGGCGCACACAAUGCAAAGCAGCUAGCACCACUCAUCAUCCGGCAGCUGCUGGCGCGGCUGCCAUGACCGUACGUGUGUAGUCAACCCUCACGUGUACGGCAUGUGACGUGUGUGCUGUGCUGGCGCUGCUUGCAGGAGGCUUACCCUCAACCAGAGCCACCACCACUGUCCGCCACCAGUGCCGGGCAGCUGCGUCGGCGGGGCGGCCGGCAGCAGCUCUCCCGACAUCAGCCGCAGCGCCACCCGCGGCGCCUCAGCAGCAACAAACGCUUGCAACGGCGACAACGCAGCAGCCCCAGCAGCAGCGGGACCCGCAGCUCCCACCGGCGGGGAGGACCGUCGGGAGGCGCAGGCCGCGGCAUCUGCGGCGGAUACGGCAGCUGCGCUACUUCAACAGGAGGCUGUGACCAGCGGCGUAUCCGCAGCCCUGGAGCUUCAAGAAAUCCAUGCAUACGUGCCUUUGCCCGUGCCUAUCGACAGCGCCGCCGGAUUAGAGAUUCUCAGGGACUCUCACGCGCUGGCAAGCUUUCACACGUCUCGCUCAGCGACCCCGCGGACCCACACAGCCGCCAACACGCCGAGGGGCCCCCUGUCAGCCUUCGCCACGCCGAUACGCUCUCAGCCCCACCACCACAGCGCCCAUCCCGCCGCUGGCGAGGCAUCAUCCGUCGCUCGCAGCAGUGUCGGUCACGGCAACCUCAACGGCAGCUGGCGCGGCUCUGGGCUGACCGGGGGGCCUCAGAGCGCUGAGCGGGAUCCACGUGUGCCGCCGCCGCCGCCGCCGCCGCCUGCUGGUGCCGCCGCUGCCGCCGCCGCCGCCGCCGCCGCCGCCGCCGCUACCGGUGCCGCUGGCCCCGUUGCUGAGUCGCUGCAGGAGGAGGGUGCCGGGCGCGGGGCCGUGCCAGAGGAUGUUGCAACAACAGCAGCAGGCGUCGUGGGGAUUGCGCUGUGGAGCUCCAACAACCAUGCCGGCGGCGGCAGCAGCACCUGGCUGGACGUGCUGAUGGCGGCGCCGCAGCCGCAACCCCCACCCAUCGCUGCUGCCGCCUCUGCCAACGGCGCGCCUGCCUCUACCUCUGCCGCUGCUUCCUACGCCGCCGCCGUCGCAGGCGCCGCCACACCGCCGGCUCCUAUGCCAGUCGGCGACGACGACGGAUACGCCCUCCAGAGGGCUGAGAAGGCCACGGCGGCGCAGCCGCCCGGCGGCUCCGCCGCCGCUGGCGCCUCGGAGCGCGCAGGCGCCGCCGCCGCCGGCAUAAGGAAGGGCCGCGGGUGCUGGAAUUGGGAGGCGCACAAGGCAAAAGCGCAUGCAUGGGUGAUCCACACGAAGGACCAGCUUCGUCACCCGCUCCGAGGUGUGGCGUACGCGGACUCCAAGCUGCCCGUGCUGAAGCAGCUGUGUGUACUGCUAAUCGUGGCGUCCUUCAUCCUCUACCCCUCGCUAGCCCAGGUGUGUGUGCGUGUGUGCGAGGUCGUUUGGUCGCCGGUCUGCGGGCCUGUCGCUGGUACGCCGGUGGCGGCUUGUUGGGCGGGCAGGAGCGGGGGCGAGUGGCGGCAGGGGAUCCAGGUACUAUAUGGCGUGUGCGUUACACGCUGUGCUGUCCUCAGCAGCAUGACAGCUACUGCAUGGGCGCUGAUCCUGCUGCAGCCCGAAAGCACACGCACGACCACGCGUCCUGCAGCCGGCCAUCCAAGGACCUACAUGUCUGCCGCCAUAGCCCCCUGCCGCGCCGCCUCCUGCCGCACCCCCCCCCCCCCCCCACAUACCUCCCAGCCUCACUGCCCCAUUGCCUUGCUUGCUGUUCCGCCACCCGACUGCCCCACCGCCCGACCCAUAUGCCCUUGUUGCCGCCGCUGCCGCCACCGCCGCCGCCGCCGUCGCCGCCGCAGGUAUCGCUGUCCAUCUUCGCCUGCUACGAGCUCGACACUGGCGCCGGCACCUUCCCAGAAAACCAGCUGGUGAGCAGGCCUUCAGCCGGGGCGCGCGCAAAACGUACCGCAUCGCGUGUCGUGCUGCGAAGCCAUAAAAUCUUUGGUAAUCGCUAAUUUCACCUUCCUGUUGUCGUGCUCUCUUGCCCCCUCGUCUACCACUUCAUUAACUAGUCAUGAAUGUACCCCCCCCUACGACUUCACUUCGUAAACUUAAUGCAUGUAACCCCCCCGCAGACGCUUUCGUCAGACGGCUGGUGGCUGCGAAACAUGAACCAGCGCUGCUACACGGUGCGUGCUUGAGGGUGGGUGUCAUUUUCUUGCCAGGAUUUCCUCACGUGCAAGCCACCCGUGCGCCGCUUGUGCAUCUCCAAACGCGCCGCGGACAAGCACCAAUGAGUCCACGUACAGCUCCCUAUCACCGUUGCCAUAAGCGCGCCUUUCUCCGGUCCUUUCGCUGCGUAUCUUGCGCGCCUCCACGUUUCGGUUGCGCCUGACUCAGCCUGCUCUGCCGGGGCUGUUAUCCACCGUCGUCAUCCACAGGGCCUGCACCGCUCCCUGUACCUGCCCAUUGGCAUCGUGGCGGUGAUUGUGUUCUGUGCGGCGCCGCCUCUGAGCUACUUCCUCAUCACGUUCGUCAACAAGGACCGUCUGCAGAAGCCAGGCAUCCUGGUCCAGUUCGGCUUUCUGUACCAACAGUACAGGUGCGCCGUCGCGUGCAAGAAGGGUGGCCAAUAGAGUGCGGAUGAGAGGCGUGCUUAGAAAUGGCUUAUGGGAUGAUGUGUUUGGGUUGUCUGCCCAUGCAGCGCUCUCGCAACACCUAAGCGCGGCACUUGUAGUCGACGGUGCGCACACCUGACUAACCCAGAAUGGGCUAAGCUAGAACGUGUUUUGCAACGCCGCGCAUGUUCCGUUGUUCGCAGGCGGGGCUGGCACUGGUGGGGAAGUGUCCGCCAGCUGCAGACCCUGGCGCUGGUGGUAGUGGAGGUUUUCGGCAGCGCCGUGUCGGUGAGUGCCCACCGUGCAUACGUACUGCGCAGGAUGAGCCGCUCGUAGUGUUACAGACGCACAUGAGCACGUGGUUGUGUGGGCCCGUAGCUUGUAUGUGCCUUUUUUAUGGCCUUGCUGCGCGUGAAAGUUGGACACGGGAAGGGGCUGCCUUCACCUAUGUUGCUCAGCCUCGUGCCCUCGUGCCCUCAUCCCAAGCGGACUAAACCCUUCCCCUUUCCUCGCUACUCCCCCCCCCCAAUGCCGUCAUCUCACCAUGCAUGCCUGGAAGAAACUAUCCCCCAAACCUCAAUCCUUCCCCCUAAAACCCGCUUCCCCCGCGCCCGCCUCCCGCCAGACCCUGAGCCAGUCGCUGAUGCUGCUGGCGGUGCUCAUCCUUUUCUCCAUGGUCAAUAUGGCGUGUCCCGCCGAGAGAUCCAAAACACUGCGCAUGAUCGAGUUCCUAUCCACCGCCGUGCUGUGCCUCACCAUUACGCUGUCGCUGUACUUCAUCCAGAUCCCAGACGACCAACAGCUGUCCGACGCCGCGAUGGUGGGUCCGGGCUUUGGGUUUGCGAGGUUGGGAGGUUAGAAGCUUGGGGGUUUGGGAGUUGGGCACGCCUUUGGCCGAGCAUCUUUGGUAUCCUGCAUGCACACACUCACGCUUGGCACCAAGCACUGUUAGCCCGCCUCGAGCGUGUGCAUACCUGACAAACACACGCGUACCGUACGCACAACGUUGAUUCAACCGCGUCUAACCCCGUACGUCCCCAUGCUUUCGCUCGGCAGGCGGCGGUUGGCAUUGUAAUCGUGGUGAUCAAUGUGGCCCUCGUUGCGGGCUUUGUGAUGGUAAUGCUCAAGUCGGGGCCCGUCGUGCCCAAGCGGGUGCAAAAGGCGUGGAAGAGGUUCCGCAAGCAAGCCAAGCACAAGCUGAAGGUCUUUGGCUGCUGCUGCAAGGGCGGCGUGUGUGCAUUAUGGAAGGGUGGUAAGGUAGAUGGAAAUCAAGAAUCAGACCGCAAACCUGCCGUUGUUUAGGCGGGGGUUUCCACGCUCACAUACAGAGAGCAUCGCUUGUUGUACCGAAGUAUACUGUUGAUUCGUUCAUUUACAAUGCAUUGGGGAUUGGCAACUAAGCACGUGUGCUUUGGGUCGGGAGGGGGUGGGUGGGUGGGUUGGGAACGGGUCGUGGGGUAGCUUACGAACCCGUCAUGGCAGGUAGCAAGGCGGGUCCAGUGGAGGGUCAAACCAAAGGGCUGUCGCCAGCUGAGGUUGAGUUGCGGAAUCGACGCGACCGUCACGCGCACUGUGAUAGGUGCCGGUGCAGCGGGAGCUUUGUGCGCGUGGACAUGUGUUGGUGCAGACAAGGGUUAGGGUCGACACUGUGCCAUACAUCUGUGUGGGAGGCAUCACAUAGGACACAUAACCCGACAAUCCGAGAAGAGACAGUUCAGACCAUAUGGCGUAUGUGUGUAUGUGCGCGCUGCAUACAGUACUGUAGGCGGCUAAUGUGCGUGCGUGUGAUCACGCAUGUGUGCCAAAGCAAGCACAGGGGGGAACGUGUGCGUGAGCGUGUAUGGGAAGUGAGUAGGCGAGGCAAGGAGCUGGCACGGACAUGCGGUCCCACAGGCAAAUUAUUGAGGACUGCGUAAGGGCGCGCAUCUCACGCGUAUGCCUGCCUACUUUUGUACUGCCAUCAAUGAUGGCAUCGAGUGAAGCUGCUCGCACCUGAAUUGCUGGCUGUACGAGGCUGUACUCCAAGGGACUUAGCCCCAUUAGGACUGCCACGAGGCCGCAAGGCACGGAAGGGGCAAGCUUGACGGGAUUAGAUGUGGUUCAGCCCGAGAGCAUGGUAGCUCUUUCCCACGUCGCCCUGCCCUCUCAUCCAUGCCGCUGGGUGCGCGGUCAGUACCCCAGUUUAGUGAGUGGCUGUAGGCAUGUAGCCUUCGCAACCUGAAUCUCUUAACCAUUCUUUUGCAAUCUUCAUCCUGCUUCAUCAUCUGGACCGCCGGGGCAGAGCAUUCGGCUUUGGUUACAGCCUGUAUGUUCAGUCUUAGGUCCUCUCUCGAGAUCCAUCGCCCCACUGCUCCCUACUCUCCUGUAACACCACUGCGGAAAUCCAGCGGAAGGUCUUGUCAGUUAAUUCUGAGGCGGCACACCAGACCGCACCUCAAGAAGUGUUGGGCACUUGCCCCUCUCCGGAUACUCAUGUCGCACAACCAGCGCUUCCCAACCCUUUCACUAGCAGCUGCGCCCCGGCCGCCAGACGCACUUCGUGCGCCGCGCCGCCCGCCCCUCCACUGCGGGUGAGGGCGUGCGAGCGCGCAAAGCCGGCGCCGGUUCCAUACUUGCACACUCACGAUGUGGCUCUUCUAGGUGGGUGACCUCCACACACAGGCACGAGGGCUUGUAUUAGGCUGGGGCUCGCGUCACGGCCCCCUACGUCACCCGACUAACCGGUCGACAUAACGACAAACGGAACGACUGUACACAAGGGCCAACGCUGUACGAAGGGCAAGCCGCGGGGCUCCCAUACGUGGCAGGCCGCAGGAGGGCCGCACACACCUCCCGCCGUCAAGCAGCACGCGGCGGCUUACGCCCCAGCGAGCACAGGCGCCCCAUCACCGUGCGACUCGACAUACUCACGGCUCAGCAACACCCGCCCCCAACUGUGGGCACCGCAAUCACGCACCUCAGGCAGGCGGCGCCGUCCCUCACGGCCGCCACCCCAGGCCCCCCAAGAAACCCGCCUCCUCUGCGCCAGCGCCAGGCCAGUCAGUGCAGCAGCAGCCCGCGCGCACGCCGCCCGCCCAAGCGGGCCGGCGGCCGCUCGGCUGCAAGCAGCAGGGCGGACGGGAAGCCGCGCCACGACGCCACGCAAGCAGCGCUGCGGCGCGCUCCUCCCCCGCCACGCCUCUGUCCUCGCUUUCGCCCAAGCAGCCCGUUUAGCACUCCUCCUCGGAGUCGGUCACGACCUCGCCACGCUCCUUGCGCGCCUUGCGCAGCUUCUCCAGCGCCUUCUUCUCCUUGUUCGACAUCUUCUCCUUCUUGGGGCCCUUCACCUUGAUGGUGUUGCCGAAGGCGUCAAUCACCUCAUCCUGCUGCUUGAUCUCCACCUUCUCCUUAAUGGCGAUCAGGUUGUCACCCUCGCGCACCAUCUUGCCGCCGCCCACGAUCCACCGCUCAUUGCACAGCGCGGACACGAACUCGUUGUGGUGAGAGAUGACGACGAUGCCGCCGCCGAAGUCCUUGAUGGCGCCGGCCAGAGCGCCCAGCGAGUCGCGGUCCAGGUAGUUGGUGGGCUCGUCCAGCACGAUCAGGUGGGGGUUCUGCCAGGUGGCGGCAGCCAGCACGACCUUCACCUUCUGGCCGCCCGACAGGCCGCGGAUGUGGCUGUGCAGGGCGAACUCCGACUCCAGGCCCAGGUCCUCCAGGUGCUUCUGGAUCGAGGCGGUGGUGAGCGGGCGGGUGAACAGGCCCAGCGCGGCGGCCUCCUUGAUGUCCAGCUCGUUCACCAGCUUCUCGUAGCCCAGCUCCACCAGGGUGUCGCGGGGCAGCCAGCUGGUCUGGUCGGCGGCGGUGUUGGCCCACUGCACCUCGUACUCGUACGACUUCUUCAGCUUGCGGCGAGCCAGCAGCUUCUCCACCGAGCGCUUGACCUGUUGUGUGAAGAGGAGCGAGGAAAAUGGGAGCGCGGCGUGAAUCACGUGGAGGAGGACACAUGGCAGCCUGCGGGACCUAUUACUGAUGCUUGACCAAGCUCGCUCGCCAUCUGACCCGUCCCCACGUGUACUGAUGCAACUCCAAUUUGCCCUCCAUUACAGCUCCUCUCCCGACACGCCUGCUCCUGCUCCACGUGGGCCCAGCAAACCUGCCCUGCUCCUCCUCCCUGUCCUGCUCGCCCUUCCUCUCACCUUCGGGUCGUCGCCGAUCUGCACCUUGUUCUCCUGCAGCUUCUUCUGCUCCUCCUCGGUCAGGCGGGUCUCCUUCUCCUGGGCCUCGCGGUCCUCACCGGGGGCGAAGCGCCACUGGAUGUACUCGUUGGGAGUCUGCGCGGGAACAGAAAUACGAGGAUGGCGGGUCAGGCGGGGUCAAUCAACCAUCAAUACCGUCACUGCUUGUCAGGACGGCCGACGCAGCAUCGAGCUGUCGAGACACUCAUACCCACGCCUAAGCCCGGGCGAACCACCCCCUCCCACCCACCUUGUCCAGGUGCUUCUCCAGGUGGUGGAAGGCGUGCUGCGCCACGUAGGCGAUGCGCAGGUUGGGGUGCUUCCACACGGUGCCGGCCACGGGCUCCACCUCGCCGGUCAGCACCUUGAUCAGGGUCGACUUGCCGGCGCCGUUGGGGCCAAUGCAGGCCACGCGCGACGACAGGGUGCAGUAGGCGGUGGCGCCCUCGAAGAUCAUGCGGUCGGUGUUGGGGUACUUGUAGGACACGCGGUCGGCCUUCAGGAUGGCCUUGUCCUUGGUCUUGACACCCUCCAGGUAGCCGGGCUCGGGCAGCUUGAAGGUCAGGGUGGAGGCAGUCAGCUCGUAGUAGGCCUUGGCCUCGGGCUUCUGCUCCACGAACUUCGAGAGGUUGCCCUUGUACACGCGCAGCUUGCGGUUGUUGUAGUCGAUGAUGUGCGUGCACACGUGGUCCAGGAAGCCGGAGUCGUGCGACACAAUGAUGGAGGACACCUCGUCCAGGCCCACCAGGUAGUCCUCCAGCCACUUGACGUUGUGCACGUCCAGAUGGUUGGUGGGCUCGUCCAGGAGCAUGAUGUCGGGCUUCAUCAGCAUGGUGCGGGCCAGCGCCAGCUUCAUCUUCCAGCCGCCGGACAGCGAGCCCACGGCCUUGUUCAGCAGCUCCUCGGUGAAGCCGACGGACGAGAGCAUGCUGGUCACCUGCUCCUUGGUGGUGUUCACGGCGGCCUGCAGGUUCUCGUCGGCGAAGACGAACUCCACGCAGUUCAGGUCCGACAGCGAGCCGUCGAUGUCGUGCUCCACGUACACGGUGCGCAGCACGUCCUUGGGCGGGAAGCCGUCCACCUGGCCGUUGGCAAUGGCGCGCAUCAGCGUGGACUUGCCCACGCCGUUGGGGCCGCACAGGCCGUAGCGGCGGCCACGCUUCAGGCGCAGCGCGGCGUUGUUGAGCAGAAUCUUGGCACCGUACGCCAGCGAGAACUCGCAGUUGCACAGCUCCUCGCCCUCCUCGUCGUCGAAGUACUCGGUGGACUUGACCUGUGCGCGCGUGGGUCGGUGGCGUGAGGAGAGGCAGGUAAGUGCUGAAAACAUGGUCGGGUGCCCAGUUUUCCACGCGUUGUGAGGCUUCCAAACACCGUUCACGGCGUCAGGACGCCGAGUCACAUACACACACCCUCGCACGUGCACAUGAGCCCUGUCACCUUCCCGUCCGCUCACCUGCACCUCGGCGAAGCACUUGUCGGCCAGGGUCUGAGCGAUGGGGGCCAGGGUGUCCUUGGACACGAACACGCCCAGGUAGGUGCCGAUCACCUUGUCGCGCCACUCCUCAAUCUCGAAGUUCUUGUUGUUGGUCAGGUUGGCGCACAGGGCGGCGGCGUAGUCCAGCACGGGGUAGGCCUCGGGGACCAGGCCCUUCUUGCCCUCGGCGGUGGCCGCCAGCAGGUCGUGCAGGGUCUUCAGGGCGGCGCCCUUGUCCAGGGUCUUGGCCAGCUUGGCCUUGCCCUCGGUCUCGAUGUGCUGCAGCGUCUUGAUGGCGCUGUUCGACACCUUGCGCAGCUCGGGGUCAGCGGCCUCGUUGGCCACCUGUUGGUCGGGAGGGGCAGAGAGCGGGAAGGGGUGAGGGGAGCGGCACCAACAUGCGGUACACGGAGCACAAACCACCUUGCAGACAGCAGUGGCGCCAUGCAUUCUCCCACCUCGAGCCCCACCAGGCAGCCGCCCCGCAACUCCGACACCCGAUUACCGCCGUCCCUUUCACCAGCCACCCCACUUCGCACCCAGGCUCACCUUCUCGAUCUCAGGCAUCAGGCGGGGCAGGAACACCAGGGCCUCAGCCGGGUUGUCCACCAGCUUAGCCAUGUUGUCAGCCACCACGGCGGCCUUGCGCUUGAUGGCGGUCACGCGCUCGCGCAGACCGCGCAGCAGCAGGGGCACCAUCAUGGCCAGGGCGGGGGCCUCAACCUGUGUUGGAUUGAAUUGAGAUGAGCGGCGAGGCAACGCGGUCAGCCGGGGUACUUGCGGCUAGUUUUGUCAGUCCCCCGAACCUCACGCCCGAAGCUGCUAGCCAGGCAAACCGUUCGCGUUGGUGGGGCUCACUCGGAGUAGCCUACUUGCUGCUGGCACGGUGCCCCUCUCACUUCCUGGGAAAGCUUACGCCCAAAGCGCCCCGCUGCAUCUCUUUCAACAGGUCAAGUCACGCUCGCUAGCCAGGUACCAAGCACCCCGACUCACCGCCUGCACGAAGGUGGUGGAGGCCAGCUUGUGCACGGUCUCCUGCACCUCCUCGGGGUGGUUGAUGGAGCGGAUGAUCAGGGGCACCAUGGCGUUGAUGUCGCGGUUGCCCACCAGCGUGCAGGCCUCCUUCAUGGUCUCGGUGGCCACGUCCUGUGGAAGGCGACAUACAGAGGGACAGGCGGCAUGGUUGUCACAACGUGUCGAGCAGUGGCGGAGGUCACCGCAACGUGCAUGCUUCGGCCCCAACCAGCCCCCCCUCAAAAAACGCGAGCCCCGCGUGCGCGAAACCAUUUGCAUGACCCUGACACCGAUUCCCUUUUCGAACCGCGCCUUAGCAGCGCCCCAUCCCCAGCCCCCGUCCAAAUCCCAUUCCAUACAAACGCCUUCGCGGCUUACCUUGACGCUCUGCUUGGAGUCGUUCAUGCAGCCGGAGACGGCGGGCACGAUGUCGGGCAGGGCGCGGGUAAUCUGCUUGGGGUGCAUGCCCACCAGCUGCUUCACCAGCAGCAGCGAGGCCUCCUUGGUGGCGGGGUGCUUCUUGGCGUCCAUGCACUCGAACAGGUAGCCCAGGAUGGUGUACACGGCGUGGGGGUUGAUGAUGCUGAUCAGCGCCUUGGAGGCGGCCUCAGCGGCGGCCUUCACCUCGGGCUUCUGCUCAGGUUGGCGGUGUGGGGAGGGGAGGAAGCAGGGGUUUGCGGGAAAAAGAGCUGGGGAGUGGGUGGCCGGCUGGACUACUGAUGUGGGUGCACAGAGGCGCGUCACAACCUCCCCCACAGUUGAUGGCGGCCCAUCGCUGGUCCCUGUGGCUGGUUGAAACAGCCCUGUAUAACCCUGCGCACCUUGUCACCGCACUGCUCCAGCACGGCGGGCAGCAGGGGGGCCAGGAAGGGCUCAGCAGCGCUGCCGAUGUUGUCGCAGAUGGCCUGGUAAGCAGCAAGACCAGCCUGACGGGCAGCGGGGUUGGCCUUGUCCUCGAUGGCCGCCUUCAGGGCAGCGGUGGCACCGAAGCCCUGUGUACAGGAAGGGCAGGGACAGCGAGCUCAGCGAAGGUCCUGAAAAGUGCAUGCUCUUUUUGCCACGUCCAGCCCCGCGAAUAUGCAACAAACAAGUCCGACGUGAUCUGCGGUAUUGCUUCCCAUGCGAUACGGCUGGGCAAUUGAAGGUGGGCAUGCACGAUAAGCUGAGCGCGGCAGCAGCACAGUUUGGGUCGGCGCCAAGAAGGCGCACCUUGGCACCAGCCUUCUUCAGGUGGGCCGCGAGGGCAUCAGCCGCCGAGGCAUCGCCGCUGGCGACCUUAGCGAUGAUCUCAGCGGAAGCCUUCGACUCCGGCACUGCGUGCACGAGGGCAGAUUCGGCCGAAUUGUCAAAAGUGCCCGGACCCAAAGCCAACCACCAAAGACUACUUCUGCGCUAUGCACAAUCAAGGUUAAAGCGCCAGAGCGCCUAACAGCGCGUCCACAAGACCGUGCAACAGGCCGCUGAUUAUGUGUCCCCCGCCGGCGUCGGCCCCUGGAAUACUCACGCUCAGCAAUCUUCGAGCUGACCUCCUCAAUCCGAAUCACCAGGUUAACGUCGGCGUCGGCAGACAUCCUUCUCAAAACCUUUGGACCGAAGCGAGGGUCGGUAGAACCGCGCUACUCUGCAAGGGCGGGAGAGCGGCGGCGUUGGGGUUCAGCGCAAUCUGCACAACGUAUGCAGAGCUCGCGCUGGGAUGCCCUGACAGCGCGUCAAGAGCCAGCACCAAAAGCCCGGCGACCAACAACCAAGAGCCGCAUGCUGCUGCCAGAGGCUCUAGAAGCUCAGCCUAUAGCACUGAGAGUCGCUGAUUGUUGUGGAACUAGUCUUAGAAGGUCAUAGUCUGUCGCUAAGGUGCGUGUGGACCAGCAUCAGCCGCCGGAGGGGCGUCCCACCUG
rnacentral:lncRNA from 1 species